CUCAUCUCUACCCACUUACAAAUCACUACCCUCUCUCUCAUCAAUUCAACCUAGCCAGGAGGAAGAACUCGACGACCCUCUGCUUCCAGAUCUGCCUCCGGGGAAAUCACUACAAAAGGUUGGCAAAAUAUUAACCCUUAAACCCCAGUUCUAAGUGAUUUUCUCGUGUAGCACUAGAAAUAUAAAUUUAAGUAUAUAUGUUUGUAAGUUUUGUGAAAAAAAAAGUUGUAGACAGUGAUCGCUUCUUGUAAUUGUUUAAAUUUCUGAAUACAUGCUAAGAUUAGUUUUUUCGUUCACGAGGUAGUUGAUAAAUAAUUUUUCAUCAUAUUAGUGGUUCUCGUAAUUCGCCUUUUAUUUCAAUUAGCUUUUCGGGUCGAUUUUUUUCUCCUGCACAAUGUUCUUAAUUUCUUUAAAUUUAGUAAGAAAUGGUAGGUCAGAAGAUAUCUGCUCCGCUGUUUGAACGACCCUAACAAACCUGUCGACCAGAAAUUCUAAGUAGGCAGUAUUCAAAAUUUUCAUAUCUUGUUUCUCCAUAUUCGCUCACAAAAAGAAAACCAGAGGGGAGAGAGUAAAUAAAGGGGUGGGGAGAGGAGUAUAUAACCUUAGUGUAGGGUGAGAAUUAUGAGGCGUUUAUCUGAUUGUAUAUGGUUAGUUGAGAAAUGACGUUAGUUAGUAACAGUUGGCAGGCCUGAACAGAUUGACGCACCUGGAAUACGGUAGGAAGUGUUGGUGACCACCGUUUAAUGAGUUAGUUUUUUUUUUCUUUUCUCACAUGGUUUUCCUGUUGCAAAGUGAAAACACUGCGCAAAACAAAAGGACUGAUUAGUGUUGACUGACUCUUUUUAAAUUGACUUCUAGCAUAAUGUUACAUACUGACCGUUGCAACUUGACUCCAAUUUUCCCAAGUCUGCUUUGCUUUAAUAUGAAAUCAAUGGAAAGUGAAUGUUUUCUUGGAUCAUAUAUACACUCUUCCCUACAGAAGAGAAGAACCAAAAUGGAAUUUAACUCUGUUGGCAAAAAAGGCUUACUGUCUUACUAUAGCAAUGGCUUCAUAGAUGAGCAGUGGUGGCUAGACUUGAACCUAGGAUCUUUUACUUGCUCUCAUACCAUGUUCCUUGCGUAUUGACAACUUGAGAACAACUUUUUUGAAUGGAGCAGAUGCCAUAAGACAAAAAUUAGUCAAGGUCCAUUAGUUGAUAUAAAUUGAACUCUGGUUUCUGUUUAUUUCCAGGAUAUAAGGUUCUAUUGCUUUGAUUUUAAGAUUUUAGUUUCAACUUGUGUAGUUCUGAGUCCUUUCGACAAGGUAAUGUAAUUAGAAUCAAGAUUUUAAUAUAAAUAUUGCACAUAUUAUUCCUUCGGGGUUUAUAUUGAACCUGUAAUUUUGUAUUGCGUGAUUUCAUCCACGGUGAGUUCAAGGUCAAGCUGAUUUUGACCAGUAGACUACAAUAACAAUCUCAUGUGAUGAGAUGGUUUGAAAGGAUCUUACACAUAACUGGGUAGUCGAUUUGUCUAUAGGAUCCCCUACGUCCACGCUUAAAAAUUCCUUAUCUUGGUGCCUGUAAUCGCCAAGAUGUAGUGGUAUCUUCUCAGAAUAUGAAUUGACAUUGUAAACAUGGCUGCUGCUUGGAUAUUUUUUCACUUGACACGACUUUCUUGGGAAUAAACAUAUCGAACCUUAAUGCUCUUUUAAUGGAGAGGAAUGAAGAGAAAGAAAAGAGAAAUUUGAGAAGAGGAAAAACCUCAAUUCUUUCUUUUCUUUAUUUUUUUAAAAUCUAAACCGUAAAUUCUCAUUGAUUUAGUUCACUGCAAACAGCGAAUGACAGGAAAGAUGUUAAACAAUGAAGUCAAAAAGCAGACUCCUCAGUCAUAAAAGCAUGAGCAGCGAGCUUGUGGCUGCUAUGUUCCUCAGAGGGACAUAGUGACAAGGACCACUAUGCAAAUCCGAAAACAACUCAGCAAUAUCAGACAAAGAAAAACCUCAGUUCUAAUUAGUACUCAAAUUGUAUAGAAUCUGAAAAUCUUGUUCCCGUUUUACACUUGUAUAAAACUUGAGUCAAAGGGAACCAAUAUUCCGUCUAACAGCAUAAAAAUAUCGUCAAAACCAUUUUAAUCUAAUCUGAAAAUUAUAUAAAAUCCAAA
rnacentral:lncRNA from 1 species